AGAGUUUGAUCAUGGCUCAGAACGAACGCUGGCGGCGUGUCUUAAGCAUGCAAGUCGUGCGGCAAGGGCAGCAAUGCCCCUAGAGCGGCGGACUGGUGAGUAACGCGUGGGUGAUCUGCCCUUGGGUUGGGGAUAGCCAUUAGAAAUAGUGGGUAAUACCGAAUACGUUCGUCCGACCUUGGUUGGACGAGGAAAGGCGCUUCGGCGCCGCCCGAGGAUGAGCCCGCGUCCCAUUAGCUUGUUGGUGAGGUAACGGCCCACCAAGGCGAUGAUGGGUAGGCGGCCUGAGAGGGUGUACGCCCACACUGGGACUGAGAUACGGCCCAGACUCCUACGGGAGGCAGCAGCUAAGAAUAUUCCGCAAUGGACGAAAGUCUGACGGAGCGACGCCGCGUGGAUGACGAAGGCCGAAAGGUUGUAAAAUCCUUUUGUUGGGGAAGAAUAAGCGCGGGAGGGAAUGCCCGCGUGAUGACAUGAACCGACGAAUAAGCCCCGGCUAACUACGUGCCAGCAGCCGCGGUAACACGUAGGGGGCGAGCGUUGUUCGGAAUUACUGGGCGUAAAGGGCAUGUAGGCGGCCUUGUAAGCCUGGCGUGAAAGUCACCGGCUCAACCGGUGGAUUGCGUCGGGAACUGCAGGGCUUGAGUCACGGAGGGGAAGGUAGAAUUCCUGGUGUAGGGGUGAAAUCUGUAGAGAUCAGGAAGAAUACCAGUGGCGAAGGCGACCUUCUGGCCGAUGACUGACGCUGAGGUGCGAAAGUGUGGGGAUCAAACAGGAUUAGAUACCCUGGUAGUCC
rnacentral:rRNA from 1 species